rnacentral:lncRNA from 1 species
AUGGAGAAGCAAAGGGAAGGGUCACAGCUGAGCCGGGGACACGCAGGAACCAGGCAGCUGCGCCAGCAGAGAGGACACCUGGGAGUCUCCCUGAGCAGCAGGAACUGGCACCACCCGGGGACACGAGGCCGGGCAAAGUGCACAGCCAGGUGUGGCGAGAGGCAGCCAUGGAGGGGUAGGUCCUGCCAGCCCCAGCGGGCACAGGGGGUGGGCAGGGUGGGUGCUGGGGGUCAGGGGGAGCGGGGGGCACAGGAACUGGGUGCAGGGUGUGGGGCAGCACCGGCCACACGGCUCUUGCCACUGUGUCUCCUCUGCUUCAGCCCAAGGCUCUGCAGCAUCACCGUCCUGCUGGGCACUGCCCUCCUCCUGCUGGCACCCAGCAGCACCCAGGCUCUGAGCAGCUCCGGGCGGAAGGGCCUGCCCACGGACUGGGAUUUGGAUAAGGAAAUCAUCCCGGGUGUGGAUGUGCUGGAGGAGUGGGAGCUCUCCGAAGAGGUGAAACCAGGUAGAAAGGCUGUGUCCAGAAGGACCUGGCACCCCCCACAAGUCCAGGUAGAGCCAGAGGAGGAUCGAGACCACCUCUACCACCCCCAGGACGACGCCAGGAAGGUGGAUGUCCGUGAGCCACCCCGGAUGCUGUCCCUGCAGGUGCAGAAUGGCCCAGAGGAGGACCGAGACCAUCUCUACCACAGCUGAGUGCAGAUGUGCCCAGACUGUGAAAUGAGGGGUGGGAGCUACCCCUGGGGCUCCCUUGGGGGACUCAUCCUUCCCUACCCAUCCUUGAGGCCCCCCCAAUAAACCCACUCCCCUCUCCA